rnacentral:misc_RNA from 1 species
GAUGAAGAACGUAGCAAAAUGCGAUAAGUAAUGUGAAUUGCAGAAUUCAGUGAAUCAUCGAAUCUUUGAACGCACCUUGCGCUCCUUGGUAUUCCGAGGAGCAUGCCUGUUUGAGUGUCAUUAAUAUAUCAACCUUCUCUUUUUUGAGUUGUUUGGAUGUGGGGGUUUGCUGGCCUCUUAAAUGAUUCAGCUCCCCUGAAAUGCAUUAGCAGAACAACCUGUUCAUUAGCGUGAUAAUUAUCUAUGCUAUUGAAUGUGAGGGCAGUUCAGCUUUCUAACCGUCCUUGGACAAUUCAUCAUUAAUGUGACCUCAAAUCAGGUAGGACUACCCGCUGAACUUAAGCAUAUCAAUAAGCGGAGGA